UUUUUUUUUUUUUUUUUUGCAGAUUACAGGCCUUUAUUUCAAUCUUACUCUUUCUAGGAUUCAGAAUAUGGAAGUUGGGUCAAUUGUUUUUUAUGGAAUUAAAGAGAAUUCAGCCUUUAUUGGUUAACCUUAAACCCUAGAAAGUGGGUCACAGUCACCAUUUCUGCAGCCCACUUCCAACCCACCACCAUUAAUGCCACUGCAGCAGCAUUAUCACAAAAUUCUCUUCAAGGGGUUUUUCCCCAACUACUUGGUUCAGCAACAAAAGUAGGAUAGUUGAAAAGGAAUUUCUUACAAUGGGCCAUAGAUGCCCAAAUUGGCAACUCAAAAGGGACAUGCAAAGUUUUCUUCUAGGUUCAUUCCUAUGAUUCAUUUUAAUCUCUAUUGGCACUGAUCAAAGUUGUUAACAUCAAUUAUUAGAUUUUGAGUUGUUGAUAAAGUUCCAUAAUUGACUGCUAGAGACGCAUAGCCCAAAUCACCAUGGGGUCAUCAGUUAACAAUAAAACUUGAUCUAAUGCAAAGAUAAUUUAUCAAGACAACUCUAGUUCUUACCAAAUAGGAACUCAAGCAUAUCUUACCUACAAUUAAUACAAAUGAAGCUAUAAAAGUGCCCUAGCUUAGACCUUUAGAGGAAACUUCCCAUUCCAUUUCCUCAAGAGGUUUUUGUUCCAUCCAACUUUUUUCUAGUCAUCUUCUUUUCCUAAAGUUGUUAGUGUCUUGAUCGUUGAAGAAGGUAUGUUAAGCGAAACAUCCAACAUCUUGUUCUUUCACCACUUGACUAUACUUGGUCAUCACUUAACUUGAUGGAAAGGUUGUUGACUAAUCGCUCAUGCCCAUCCCUAGUCUCUGGCCUAUUGUUUCAACUAUUAACUUUUUAUAUACUUGAUUAAAUUUUCCAUAAUCUAAUCAUAUAUAUAUAUAUAAUAACAAUUUUCAAUAUCAUACUAUGUGCCUUCAUCUAAUUUCAUUUGUAUCUAAUUUUCUUUUUAAUAAAUGAAAUUAACCCAAGGUAUUUAGUAUGACAAAGAAAAUUGAUAUUAGGCAUCAAAUAUUCAAGAUUGAGUGUUAGAUGCAAAAAUAGUAUUACCACUUCGCAAAAAUACAAAAGAUGAAUGUUAUACAGUCAAGCACAGAUGUAAAGAGAAAAAGAUUGAUAAAAUAGCAAGUAAAAAAACCAACAUCUCUACCUUACAUGAAUGUUAAGCAAGAAACAUAUAGCUAAAAAUAAAGCUUGAAAUGGUGCUUAAUUAAAGCAAAGAAUUAAAAAGCAUUAUGAAUGGAACUUUUGUACAGCACUAGCCAAGAAUAAAAUGGAUCCAUUUUUCUAUACAAUAAAGAUAUAGUUUUUUAAAAUCAGAAUGCUAAAUUUACAGGUGGGAUAUGGGUGUCCAUCAUGAGAACUUGUGAAAGAAGUUUAGUUAAACCCACAGAGCACCAACUACUGCAGCCCCACUAGAUUUGUCCUCUCUCUCUCCCCCCCUUUAAGGCCUCACACUCCUUACUUCUUCUUAAAGGAUUCCACUGCCGCAGUGCUCUCUUCCCUCCGUCCCUCCCUCUCUCUCAAGGAAGCAGCUUCUGCUUUUCUCCUAUGGCAACACAAGGAGAGGCAAAAGAAGUGGUGGAAGAGGCGUUAGAACCCUUAAAAUACAAGGUAAAGAGCGUGGUUUUAUGGCCACCCACCUGUUGUUUUUUGAACAGGCUUCUUCUUUAGCUCUGUUAGAAGUUCUUGACCUGCUUGAUUGAUCUGCUUUGUUUUUCAGACAUGGGUGUUGAAAGUCUCCAUCCACUGCGAAGGAUGCAAAAAGAAAGUGAAGAAAAUCCUACAGAAUAUUGAUGGUAAGCUCAAGAUUCUUUGGAUGCUUCUGCUGUUUCAUUUGUAUUUCUCCCCAAAUCUCAUUGUUUCUUGUGUUUGUUCAUCUGGGUCUUGUUUUUUUCCUCCAUUUUCAGGCGCUGAUGUCUUAAAGUUUCGUGCUUUUUUUCACCUGGUUCUUGUUCGUCUCCCCUGCAAUUUCACUCUUAAUUCCUUCCCAGCUUCCUCUGUUCUGAGCCAUUUUCAGCUUAAAUCUCAUACUUCUCCGCUCAUUCUUUCUGGGUCUUCUUCAUUUUCCUCCAAGUUUACUCUUUUCUUUCGAGUUUCCUCAGAUUCCCUUCCAUUUUCAGUUGUAUUUUAGCUCAUAUCUCACAGUUUUGAUUAUUUCUGUCCCAUGGGUCUGCUUCAUUUCCUUACAGUCUCACUCCUUAGUUCUCUCCUUCAUUCUCAGUUCUAUUUCAGCUCAAAUCUCACACUUUCCCACUUUCUCAUCUGGGUCCUGUUCAGUUUCCUUCGAUUUUCUCGCAAAUUUCACCGAUGUACUUCUCUUCCAUUUUCAGGUGUUUACACCACAGAAAUUGACACCAGGCAACAAAAAGUAUGUGUCACCGGCAACGUGGACGUAGAGACCUUGCUGAAGAAGCUGGUGAAGAAUGGCAAACACGCCGAGUUGUGGCCGGAAAAAGCUGAUCAUCAGAAAGAGAAAAAAUCAAAGAACAAAGAGAAACAAAAGGACCAAGAAAGCAACGAACAAGAAGGCGGCCAUGAUGGAGAUAAAGAGAAGUCAACAGUGAAAUUUGAAGCAGUACAAGAACCCACCAAAAACCCUGAACCCAAACACAGUGAAGCUGCUGCAGCCAGCGGCAGCGGCGGCGGAGGUGGUGGUGGUGGUGGUGCUAAGGUUGGGGAAAAUGGCGCCGCCGUCAAAAACGGUGCCGCCGCUCAAAAGGAGGCAAAACCAGAGGUGAAGAAACCGGAGGCGUCGCCAGCCGGUGAAGCGCCUCCGGCUGCGGAAAAGAAGGUUGGCGAAAGUGAUGCUUGUGCAGACAAAGGUGGUAGUGGCAAUGGAAGUAAAAAGAAGAAAAAGAAGGGGCAAAAACCCAACUCUGAUGUGGGUGCACCAUCUUCUGACACACCAGCAGCACCCCCUGGCUCACCCAACCCUAGCCCUGCUCCGAGCCAUGGUCCAGCCCCAGCCUCAACUCAAACCGUGUACCACUACCCACCACAUUACUAUGCACCCCCACAGCCAGCAUACACUGUUAGUUACAACACAAUGCACCCAAGUACCAGCCAUGAGGCAUCAUACUAUGCAACACCCCCACCACAAUACUCCUACGCCUACAUGCACCCUGGUCCAUGGACAGAACCUCCACCAUCCGAUUUCGACUCGAAUCCAUCAUCGGUGCAUCCACCGUCGGACUCAUUCCAAUUUUUCAGUGAUGAAAACCCUAAUGCAUGCUCACUCAUGUGAAAUUCAGCCAACUUGGGAAGGAAGAUCAUAGCUUAUACUACUUGUAUAAGUGUAUUAAGGGGUUGGGAUAAUUUUGUAAUGUAUGUGUAUAUGAAAGAGUAAAAACCUAGGAGAAAUAAGAGGGGUUUUAGGAGGGUUUUGGGCAGUGGGAUGUAUGUGUUUUUGUUUUUGUUUUCUUUUCCCUUUGUUUAGUACUUUCUCUUCUUUUUAGUAUGGGUUUUUUUGCCUUUCUUUUUUUUAAUGCUUUUAGUCUUACAAUGCUUAGUUGUCUGUAGGCCCUAAUGCCUCUCCUCCUCUCUUUUUUUUCUCUUUGGUACAAUGUAUAAAGUUGAUUUGGCACUUUGGCACCUUGCCUUGGCCUAUGGGAUGGUGAGUAUGUGGCAAUGAAUAGGGGUUUCAGGCAUCAUGCUUUGGAACAUCAUUUCUUUUGGGAAAAGGAGAAAUGCUACACAAAUCUAGGGUCAUCAUUUGCAUUGUCUAGAUGGAUGUAAAUGUCUAUCCAACAAGUGUCUAAUUUUAUGGAAGAUGGAAAAUUCUACACCUUUGAAAAUGUUCCUUCCAUUAUGGCAUAUUGAAUUCUAAUAAUACAAGUUAUUGCUCAUAAAAAUAAGACAUCUUUUGAUUUCUAUAUUUUGAUCAAUUCUUGUAUGUUUGGAGAUGAUCAUAUUCUUCCUAUUUGAUCUCCUUUUUAUAUUUUAUUAUAAUUUUAUUUUACAUGUGUCCAAAUGAGAUUGAGUGAGGAUAUUCAAGAUACCAUCGAAAAAUAAAUCCUAUUUGACAUGGGAAAAAAGAAAUAUAUUACAAUGUAUCAUCAAUUCUUCAAUUCUUCAAAACAUCGAUAUCAUAUAUAUGUUAUUGAGGAAGUAAAUUUAUCAAAAUAAUAUGACAAAAAGUGAUUUUCUUUUUAUAAAAAUUAUUGGUUCUUUGAAAGAUUAGAAUUGUUUUUAUCAUAGCGUAAUAAUAUUAUUCUUAGGUUCGAGAAUGAAUCAUUCAAAUGAUGAUUCUUAAAACGGAUUCAUUCGAUUUGAUAUCAAAUAUCAUAAAAAGUUUUAUUUAUUGGCGAUGAACACCAAUUAAUUUUUUUAGAUGAAUGAUCAAAACUUACUUUAAAAGACAUAUCACACAAGAUAUCAUACAAUAUACAAUAUAUAAUAUUGAAGAAGUAAAUCUAUAAAAUAAUAUGAUAAAAAAACGAUUUUCUUAUAAAAAUUACUAGUUCUUUGAAAGAUCAAAAUUGUUUCCAUAAAGGUGUAACGAUAUCAUUCUUUAAGUUCAAGAGUCACUCAAAUGAUAGCUCUUAAAACAAGUCGAUGGGGUCUAAUGUUGAAUAUUAUAAAAGACUUUAUUUACCCGUGAUAAGCACUAAUUGAUUUUUUUAGAUUAAAUAAUCAAAAUUUAAUCCAAGUAUUGACAUUAGAACUAAGAGUCAUGGAUUUAAGUUAUAAAAGCAUCAUAUUGAAGGAUGAAUUAUGAAGGUGCAACAAUGACGGUCUUAAACUCAGGGGUAAAUCAUCCAAAUGAUGACUUUUAAAAUAACCCAACCAAUUUAUUUUCAAAUAAGAUGAUUAAAACCCCACUCAUAAUUAAUUUUCAAAUAAGUGGUCAAAAAUUGACUCAGAGAAAAUUGUUUGAAUAAGAAUCACCAAAAAGUAAUCUAUGUUUUAACUCAUAUUUCUUAGAAAAAUAUGCUUUGCUUGAAUUACAUCAUAUGCUUUGUAAAAUACAUUUUAUAUUGACUUUAAUAUUAUAAUAUGUGGGAAAUACAUAGUAGAUCAAAAGAAUAUGUUGAGGACAGACACUUUGACUUGAUUCAAAGUUGUAUAAAUUAAACAACCCAAAGUUCAGGAGAUCAAGGAAUUAAGCUCAAGCCACUGUGCCUGUCUUUUUGUUUUAACUGCACCACCUACUUGGGUUUGAGAAAAGCAUUAUUAGCAAUCAAAUAUUUGGUUGGCUUUCUCUUGGUUGCAAUUGCUUGAUUGUUGGUAGGACCCUGAAAUCUUUCAAACACCCUCUUUCUGAUGUGGAAAGUAGACUUUGAUUAUGAGCUGAAAAGAUUAAAUUACUAUGGCUAUGUCCUUGGUUUUUGUCUCUUUUGAGAAACCUUUUGUUCCUCCCUCACAUCGAAAAUCCCCAAAGCCCCUCCCUCCCCCCACCCCAAAAAAAAAAGGAAAAAAAAAUGGAAGAAGGGGAGAGAUUUUAGUGGUUUUUUCAUCCUACCCUUUUGCUUUCUUGUUGAAUCAAGCCAAGCCUUUGCCUUUAGUCCUCUCCUCAGUCCUCAGCUGGCUGUGGGCUCACAAGGAGGUAGGUUUUCUUUUGAAAAGCUUCUCUCUUUCUUUCAUAAAAAACUUCCUUUGAAGUGUAUGUGAUGCUUUCUCUUUCUUUCUUUCUUUCCUUUUUUAUUUCUUUCUUUUUUUUUUUCCUUUCUUUUGUUGUUGUAUUAAUGUGUGGAAUGUUACAAGGCACCUACUUUGAAAUUAAAAGCAUGUUUGUACUAUUGUAUUAUGUGGUCCUUCUCCCUUUCCUUUACACCUCUCUCACCUUGUCCCUCAAAACAAAUGAAUUGUGUUGAGAGGGAACUGCCUGCUUACUAACUUCUUUUCUUGACUUGAAUCAUACUGUUCCUGACCAAUUUGGAUUUUUUUAUUUAUUUUUUAUUUUGCUUCCAAAUCAAAGAACUUGACAUCUGUUUUUUAAGAGAAGUGACACUUGGCCAAACUCCACUUGGAUUAAAAUAUAUUUAUUAUAAAAAAAUAAUACAUACAACUCACAAAUAUGUCAUAUCCACAUUCUAAUAUCAUCGUAUUAAUACUUAAACUAAGCAUUAUUAAAAGUAUAUAUUUACUAUCGGGGUUUUGUAUCUUAAUUACGUUAUUCAUAGCUUUGCUUGGUAUCAUAUUUUUAUCUUUUAAAUAGGAAUAUUUUAUUUAAAAUUAAAAAGUAUUAUUCGAUGUUAAUAAUUGGUCUUUAUCAUAAUCAAGUUAUCGAUUCAGUUAUUGAUUAGACAAAUUAAAAUUUUAGGAUUUUAUUUUAUUAAAAUAUAAAUAGUAAUAUUAGUUUUUCUUGAUCGAACUCAUUGGAUUUUUUUGGAUUUUUUAAUAUAUAUUUUAUAUAAAUAUAAAUUAUAAAUCACAAAAUGAGAUCCCACUUUCUCUCCAAGGGUAUCACUCCCUUUCCAAGUCUUGAAGGGAAUAUGUGGACUCAUCCUCCAUUUUUUUUCUUCUUCUAUCUAGGAUCAAAACCCUAACCAUACCACUCUAUUAACUUCUAAAAAAAUCUAGAAAGCUCUCUUUGUGGGUUUUUAUUCUCUUCCCCACUUGAACCUUAGUUGACACUCAAUAUGUCAAAUGCCAAAGAAAGCCCUAAAAUUAUUUAUUAUUCUAAUUAUUUAAGGCCCAUAUCCUUAUAGGAACAAAUACAAAGGUUUUGGUUUUUUUUUCUUUUUUUUUUGUUAAAAUUUUUUAGGGGUAAUCAUAGCAAAAGAUGGGAAUGGUAUCUCUUGGGUCCUGUUCUUUUCACAUGCUGCUCUAUAUGAUAAUGGGGUUCAAUGUUGAGGGGUAAGCAUAUUGUACAAAUCAAAUCAAAUGCUGAUGGCCUGUCUAGAGAUUUUUGCAUUCAAUGAUUGAAGACCUGAAUUUUUGGUUUUGUUUACCAUUGAUUUUCAUAUGUUUGUACCAUUUUAAAAAUAAAAUAAAAAAAAUAAUAUAUAAAAAAAAAUAGAAAAGACAAUAGUUCAGUAACAGUAACAGUAACCCCCACUUGUGAUCAAAAGGGUGAUGGGAUUAAAAGGAUGAGAGAAUAGUGAAUUAGAUUGACAUAAAGGUAAGAUUGAGAUUUUUUUUUUUUUUUGAAGGGAACAUUAAUGGUACCAUGAAGAUGAACUGUGUGAACAGAAUCUUAAUCCAAAGCAAAUUCACUUUCUCAUGUCAUAGCCAUUUGCUAUUGCCUAUUGGCCAUCUUGUGUGCAGUUUCCUUCAUUGGGAAUCUGAUCCCUUACAUACAGUAUACUUCUUCCUCACCAAGCCUCUCCCUUAUCCACUAAAACCCAAAUAAAAAGGGAAAUCCUGGUCUCAUGUACCCAUUCUUAGUGUAUGUGAAAAUUUAUUUAAAUAACAUAUUAGUUAUGAGAUACAUUUGUCAAAGAGAUAUUAAUUAAGUGAUGUCACGUAUGUAUUGUUAAAUCUCAUUAUUCAUACUCUAAUCUUAUUUGUUUAUAUCAUUAUUCAAUGACUUACAUCAUAUUAUAUAUAUUCAAAGAUUUAUUUUUAGAGAUCUGUAAAUACCAUUAUGAUACCUUAAAAUUUUCAUCGACUUUGAUAUUAUAAGAAAGAAAGUUGUUUGUAUUAAAGGAAUCAAUAAACGUUGCUUUAGCUAAAUAAUAAUAGUAAAAAUGACUAUAGAAUUAAUAUGAUAUAAAGGUUUGGUUUCUUUCAUUAGGUACCAAUUAGUUGUUGCAUGAGAUAGUUAAGGUCUAAUUCGAAAAAUGGUAUCAAAGUCAAAUGUCAUAAACUUGAAAUGGGUAUCGAUUGAUUUUCAGAAAAGAUGAUUAAAGAUUUUCUUCUAAUAUAAAAUAUGUAAAUACUCACUUUUAUAUAAAAUUCUUUAUUUAUACAUUGUCCUUGAUAAAUUAUAACUAUUUUAUAAAAUUAAGAUAUUUAUACUUGCCUUUAAGGAAAAAAAAAAUUCAAAAACAUAUUUAAAUGUGCAUACAAGUACAACACCCACAACAAUGAUUAUGGGUAGUGGCCUCAUAAUCAUGAUGAUAAUGACAACACCAAUGACCAAUACAAUUAGGUAAGAUUGGUGUUUGGAUUCACUAAUGCUGAGUAAUUAGGGCAUAACUAUUGGCUAGAGAACCACCUAACUCUUUUGUUGUAGGAAAGGCUAAACCUAAAAAAGAUAUGUAAUGGGGCCUAGUCUCCAUAGAAGAAUGGUGAGCCUUGGUCCAAAAUGGCAAACAAAUUAUUUUGAGCCACAUGACCAAUUAGGUAAGAUAAAAGGGGUGGUUAAGAUCUAGGUUUAUGACUUGGCUUCCUAGCCUAAAAGGUGUAAGUUGAUUAAUUAGCUUAAUCUUUGUCAAUAGUUAAAAAUCAAAUUUUAAUUUCAAAAGGAAAUGUUAUGAAAAGUUGUACCGAGCGAUUGUUGUGCAAUGAACAUGUUUUAAAGAGGACAAAAAUAGGAAUGGAGGGUUCUAGGUUUAAUAAUGUCGAUAAUAAUUAUGUCUAAUAUGAUAUUUAAAUUUUAGUUCUACAAGUUCUAGGUUUAAUAAUAUCAAUAAUAAUUAUGUCUGAUAUGAUAUUUAAAUUUUAGUUCUAUAGGUUUAAUAAUGUCGACAAUAAUCAUUGACUUAAGUUCUAUCAAACUUUUAUGAAAAAAUUCUUUCGAAUAAAUGGCUCGACAAGAAUUUUUCUUUUUCUGAACACCUUAAAAGUCUUUUCAAAACUGCAAAAGUAGAGAAAAAAAAAAAUACUAAGAGUUUGUUUAUUAAUCAUUUUCAAAUAUGGAGAAUUGUUUUUGAGAAUAAAAAAAAAGAGUAAAAAGCAUAUUUUGUAAUUGAAAAAUAGAAAACAGUUUUUGAUUUUUAAAAACAUAAAACAUUCUUGUUUUUAGAGAGUAUAUUUUAAUUAUUUUAAAUUAUUUUCAUUUUUUUAGAGUUGUUUUAAAAAUAAUAGGACAAAUAUGAAAAAUACUUAAAUAUAAAAUACAUCAUUGAAAAUUUAUUUUUAAAAAUAUUCGAAAAUAUAGAAAACAAUUUGAAAAUAGUAAUACCAAGCUUUCAAACAAAUUUUCAAAAAAAUAUUUUUAAAAACUAUUUUUUGAGAACAUAUUUCAAAAACCUUCCCAAACAAACCCUAAUUCUUUUAUAUUUUUUUUCAUUGGUUUAAAAGAAAAACACAAUAAUUUUUAUACAAUACAAGAUACUAUGCAUGAAUCAUAUUUUAAAGAUUUUUUUUUUUUUUUGGUGUUAAAAAAAAGAAAAGAAAAGCCCUUUGACUUUCUAGAGGGUUCAUGCUUUAUAAAAAGAAGAUAAGUAUGAACUUAGUGAAGUAGGUUUACAAGAUGUAGUCAAUUGUCUUCAUCCCAUUGACAAAUAGGAAUGGAGAAAAAUAUGCAACCCCAGUUCAUGUAGAAUGGUGACCACAAUUUGAUAUUCUGUAGGGUUUGAGUUAGGAAUAUGUGGAGACAUGCCCCAAGCCUGAAAAGAGUGUGCCCUUUAAAAACCUACCACACCAUUGGAAGUUUUGUUCUUACAAGUCAAGAUAUUGGAAUCAUAUCCCCUUGAUUGAGGAACCUUGUGCCUUUUUAACUUCUCUUUUUCUUUUCCUUUAUUUAUUUAUUUGUUGAAUUCUCCAGAUCAGAUAAAUUUAACCCUUCUCAUAAUUUUACUUAAAAAAUAACUCAUUUUUAACAUAAAUAUCCCUUAUUAUAUUAAGAUUUAUGUAUAGGUUUUAAAAUAAAAGAUUAUUUUUUCAAGAAAAUAAUAAAGAUAUUUCUAUCAAAACUAACCUUCUCAUAGUUUUAUUUGGAAAGUAACUCGUUUUUUUUUACAUAAAUACCCUUUACGAUUCCAAGAAUGUAUAUACAUGUUUUAAAAGAAAAUAGUAAAAGUAAUUUUAUCAAAACAAACAAAAAAUAAUGUUUUUUUUUUCAAGACUUAGACUUAGAUCAUAACACAGAUAUCCAUUUAGUGGAAUAUGGAAUAACAUGUGGCUUUCUCAAAACAUAAAUGAAAGAAUUCUUAUGUAUGGUAUGUGGAAACAUGAUAUAUGGGUAAAUAAAUUAUAUCUAUUUUAAAAGGGGUUGUUAUUCGCAUCAUCCUUUUGUUAAAUAUAACACUUUUUUGUCAUUUUUUUUUCAUAUAUACCCUUUUUAAUAAAGAACUCUCUCUAACCUUCUUUUAAUAUAUUAAACCUAAAUUCUAGUUGAUUAAGGUUGCGAAUCACAUACGAGAGUCAUUACUUUUUCUGCGUUGCAAAAUUUGACAUACUUACCUUUGAACGCAACCAAAGAUGUUCAAGGUCCUACGAGAGUCAUUACAAUUGUUUAUUUGGAGUUAGCUCGACACUUCGUAGCGAUAUAAUUAUUUUAUUAAUUUAUUCUUAUAUUUACACACACGCAGAUACGCCCUAAUUGUUGAUAUUGUAAUUGUUGUGUUUUUUUAUAGGUAAAUAUGGUUUCAGAUUUUCCAUUGCCAAGAAUUCAUCCCAGUUGGUAUUCGUAUCAUGGUAUCAUGAUGUCAGUGUAUUCAAUUGCGACGAGCAAUUUAAGCUGAGGUUAGAGGAGUGGCAUAAACAAUUUGGAACAACUACAGUAGAUUAUGUAGACCUUGAUUGAGUUCAUCAUUAAUACAUUGAGAUGGUAUUUAGUUUAUUAUAUUUAUUGACUUUUGAACAUAUGUAGUAUUUAAGUCUCACAAUGUUUUGACAUUUUUUUAGGCUCUUGAUUACAUACUUUGUUUUAUGAGUCUUUACUUCGCAUACACAAAUAAUUAUUACAUUGCUCAUAUUCUUAAUCAAUCUCUAGUUAUAUGCAAUAUUUUUGUUUGGGUUACAAAAAAAAAUCAUAUUGAACACAAUAAAAAAUAUAUUUUUUUUAAAACCAUUCAAAUUAAAUAUUGUUUAUUUUAAAAUUUUAAUAAUAAUUUUUAUUUAAAAAAUUGAGUUAUGAAUUUCACAUUAAAACAUUGAAUAUAAUAAAAUCAUUUUACAUAAUAUACUUUUGAUGAAAAAAUUAUUUUAUAAUUUAUUAUUUAAAGAAAUUAUUUUGUUUUAAAAUAUCAGAAGAAUAUGAAAAACAAUUGAGUGUGAAAAAAUAAAAGAAAUGAAAAGAAAAAAAAAACACAGUUUAACCGUGGGGUGGGGGGGUCGGGUAGAUAAAGAUGAAAAGGAAGAUAAAAAUAAAAUGAAAAAGAAUGCUAAAAUGUAGAGUGCAGGUUGGGAAAAUAAAAAUAAAAAAGGGGUGCAAUUGGGACGUGAGGUUGGGGAGGAGAGAAGGAAGAGGAGAUAUGAGAGAAGAAAGAGAGGGGGAAGGAAUAAAGGAGGAUAGUUUAGGAAUGUAAAAUGAUGCGUUAGUUGUGAAUAACAUUUGAGUUUUAAAAUAUAUCAGGAUCAUUGUCUGAAAUAGAAAUCUAUAUUUAGGUAGAUAUUUAUAAGGAGAUUGUGAUUUUAUAUUUUAUUUAAUUCUCUUUUCUUGAAUUUGAUAAAAAUAUUUGACAUAGACAUAAGGGAAUAAAAAAAAAUUAAAACUCUUUCUUUUUUGAGAAAAUCCUUUCUUUUCUUUGCUUGAAAAAAAAGAAUGGGAAAGUUAAAAUAAUAAUAAUAAAAGGAACUAUGGAUUCUUGCACAAUGCUUUAGGGUGAAUAGGGAGAACAAAAAUAUCUCUUUUAUGCCCCAUUUUUGUGGAAUUUUGUAAGGUGGUUUAGAAUAUUCUAAAGGAAGGUGGUUGUUUGUGAGCCCCGAUUUUAAAAAUGCCACUAAUAUAUACAAGUUGGAUAAAAGCUACUAUUUGUGGGUUAAAAGAAUGGUUUGAUUUAGGAAGUUGAUUAUUUAAUAAUAUUUACUUUUUAUACUAAUUUUUGAAGUUUUAUGGUUAAAAAUUUAAAACAUUAACCAUGACAUUUCACAUACAAAUAGAAGAAGGAAAAAAAUGGAUUUCUAGUCUUCUGUUGAAAAUUAUUUUUUGUAAUAGUCUUCUGUUCUUCAGGAAAAUAUAUAUAUAUCUAUAAAGAAAAUAUGUUUGACAACUAAAAACUAUUUUUUUAUUUUUUUUAAGAACAAAAAAUAAAGGGUUUUUUAAAAAAUAUCUUUAAGUUGUUUUCUACGAGUUAUUUUAAGAAAUAAGUAUACAAAUAUGUAGAACGAUUAAAAAUAAAAAAAAAUAAAAGACUAGAUAUAAAAAUUAUUUUUAAAUAUAAAAAACAAAUUAAAAAUAUUUUAGGUUUUUAAACAAACUUUUAUUUCACAAAAAUCAUAUAAUAAUUUUUAAAAAUUAUUCUCAAAAACUAUUUUUAAAAAUUGGUUUAAACAACAAUUACCAAAUAAGCCCUAAGUACCUUUAAAGGAACCAUAUAUCUCUAAAAUUAUAUGUUUAAGUUUCAUAUAUUUGCUGAUUUGGAAAAUAAAGGAUAAAAAGUUUUCGCUAUCAUACAUCAAUUUGUUAAGUUUUAUUUUGAUAUCAGAAAGUUUGAAAUAAUAUUUUAUUUAAAAUAUAUAUAUAUAUAUAUAUAUACAAUGAUGAUUCUUUGAAUUUAUUUCUUUGUUCUCCUCUUUUUUCUUUUUAUUGUUUACAAGAAAUGAAGAAUUUGAAAUUAUCGAUAUUUUAAAGUUAUUUUUACUAUAUUUAAGUUUCCUUAAUAUUUUCCAAUGUCAAUCAAAGAAAAUAAUUUAAAUUAAAUGAAAUUAAUUUUCAAAUAUCAAACUAUCAUUCCAUGAUAUAUUUUAUUUUACUGUAUAAUGUUUGAAAAUAAAUUUUAAUACAAAAAAAAAAUCAAUGAUUGCCAGGUAUAGUAGAAUUUUCAGGCCCAAAAAACUAUUGCAAGCCCAACCCAAAUCCAGUCCAAGCCUAGACUAGGCCCAGCCCAAAAGGUUGUACCCAAGGCCCAGUUCUGUUAAAUUUAAAGCCUAGCUGUUUUCAGAAGUUCAAUAUGGUCGUCUUUCAUGGCCGGUGUGGAUGCCUCAUAUCCCUCUCUUCUCCUCUUUCUGGCGCCAAAUAACGACUGUUACUACCAAAUUCAAAUCCAAAAAUUCGAAUUACAAAACCCUCUCUGCACUCCAAUCAUGCAAAUCCACGGAAGAUUUGAAGAAAAUCCACGCCCAACUCAUCAUCACAGGCCAAAUCAAAGACACUUUCAUAGCAACCAAAACGGUGGAAUCCUAUGCCGUUUCCGCCCGAAACAUCGAUUACGCUUUCUGGGUUUUUGUGGGCAUCAAUUAUCCAGAUUCUUAUUCGUGGACAACGAUGAUUAGAGGGUUUGUAGAGGCCAAAAACCCCGAAAAAGCUCUAGAAUUUUAUGGCCUCAUGAGGCAGAGAGGCGUUGAGUUGAAUAAAUUCACUUUUCUUUUCGUGCUUAAGGCUUAUGGGUUGAGGCCCAGUUACCAGGAAGGUAGAAUUGUUCAUGGGAAGCUUGUGAAAGUUGGGUUUUGCUAUGAUGUGUUUACGCGCAAUGCACUGAUUCACAUGUACUUGAAAUGUGGAAGUAUUACUGAUGCACACCUAUUGUUUGAUGAAAUGCCUAACCACAAUGUGGUUACAUGGAAUACAAUGAUAACGGGUUGUUUUGGCUGUGGGGAUACUGAGCGUGCGCGUAGAUUGUUCGGUGAAAUGCCUGAAAGGAAUGUUGGAUCAUGGAAUGCAGUUGUGGGUGGGUAUUCUAAGUUGGGUCACGUUGAUAUCGCAAGAUCAUUGUUUGAUUUGAUGCCGGAGAGAGAUGUAGUGUCAUGGGGUUCCAUGAUUUCGGCCUAUGUUCAGAAUGGUAGGGCUGCAGAAGCGUUAGAACUCUUCAAAGAAAUGAUGCUUGCAGGGGUUAGCGCAGAUAGCAUAAUCAUCACUAGCAUUCUUUCAGCUUGCGCUCAAAUUGGAGCACUGGACAUGGGGAGGUGGAUUCAUGCUUAUAUGAAGAGAAGCAAACUGAGGAACGAUGUUUUCUUGGACACUGCCCUUGUGGACAUGUAUGCCAAAUGUGGGUGCAUCGACACAGCAUUUGGAGUAUUCAACACUAUGCCGCGAAAAAAUUUAUGUUCCUGGAACGCCAUGUUAUCAGGGCUUGCUAUUCAUGGCCAUGGAUUUGCUGCUCUGGAGCUCUUCAAACAAAUGGAAUCCACUGGAGUUGGACCAAACGACAUAACCUUUGUUGCAGUUCUAUCAGCAUGUAGUCACAUAGGAUCAGUCGAGGAGGGGUGGAAGAAAUUCAAUCAGAUGGACAAGGAGUUCAACAUCACUCCAAAGGUUGAACACUAUGGCUGUAUGGUAGAUAUCCUCUGCAGACAGGGGCUCAUAAAUGAGGCUAAAGAGAUGAUCAGAACCAUGCCAUUGGAGCCAAAUGUAGUUAUAUGGGGAGCUUUGCUUAAUGCCUGUAAGGUCCAUGGGUACACCAAUGUUGGUGAGGAUGUGGUGGGAUAUAUUCAGAAACUAGUCUCAGAAGACGGGGGGUGUUACGUGCUUUUAUCAAAUAUAUUUGCAGCUAAAAGUCAGUGGAAUGAAGUUGAGAAGACGAGGAAGAUGAUGAAACAGAUGGGAGUAGAGAAAAAAAUUCCUGGGUACAGCUCUAUAGAAUUGGAUAGUGUGGUUCAUGACUUCUUUGCUGAAGACAGGUUACAUUCUAAAUGGAGGGAAGUGAGUACAGUUAUAGAGAGACUAAACACUCACUUAGAAGUCAAGGGUUAUGAGGCAAAUCCAUCAUUGGUAUUGUACAAUAUAGAUGAGUAGCUUGAAGUCAAAUUCCAAUGUGUGGGUCGUGGUUGUGGGUAUACGCUAAAUCUAUAUGGUUCUUUACAAGGGUACUUGAGCACUUUUUUGGCUAUUCAGUCCUAUGUAGAGGCAUAUUGUCAUCAUUCGUGUGUUAAUUCUAGGUUCGUAAUGCUUUUUUGAGAUAGAAACAAGUGUAGCUAUAUUUUAUUUGUUAUGAUAUGGUUAAGGUUUGAGUUGAAUUGGAUGUAUUAGACUUGUUAAAAGAUGGAGACAACUCCAGAAAGCAAAAUGAUUGAUAAAUGCUUUUGGGUAUUAGGUUUGAGGAAUGAUAGAGUAGAUAUACAUGUAACAUAGUUUUUAAAAAGGCAUAUUUAAGCGCGUUUACACGAGAAUUUGAAAGAAUAUAUAAAAAAUAUUUACUAAUUUUAAAACAAUUUUUUGUUUUCUUUUUCUUCUUAUUUUCGUCUCUAUUUCUUUUCAAAGGAAAAAAUGAGAGUAAUAAUAGGAGUAUCUUGGAAAGAUACCAUGAGUAGGCGGAGUGGGAUCGGCAGUGUACAGUACCAAAACAAAAAUAAACUUUUCGAAACAUUUUGAUUUCUAAAAGGUGGUUUUAAUGCUCCCAUGCUUUCAUUACUGUUAUUCCAAUUUUAUAAACCAUCAAUUCUUCCUUUAAGGAUCCAUCCAGUUGUAACCAUUCUUUGCCUACAGGCAAAUCUGCAGCUCCAAGACUGAAAAUGGUUAUAUUUUUAUGUGCUUCCAGGAAUGGAUGCAAAUCUGACGAGGCGUCUGCAAACUAAGUUCUGGGUAUAAUGAUAUAACUAAUGAAUACUCUUCAAUUUCAAAAUCUUAGGAACUUUUAGGUUGCAUUUAAAUGCCCACUGAAGAACAAAAAACCCUAACCAGUGCAGGUUACAUAGAUCCAAUAAUGACCAUGAACUCGGUUCACAGAAUAUGCUAAAAUCAACCAACAAAGCCAAUAUUCAACUUCAACAAUAGUACUUGGUAAUGAAAAAAAGCCAUUGCAAAACAAAGUCCAUAGAAAUUGCUAUUGCAGCCAUGUUAUCUCCCCACCUUCUAUCAUGAAGGAAAAUGUUUAAAGAGACUGGAACUACUGUUGCCGGACUUCGGCUUUCUUCUUUUGCCAGAGCCUAUCAAGGGCACUGUCAGCAUCUCCCUGCAAAGUUCAAACAACGUAAUUACCAACCAAGCUUCAGCAGUAUAGAUGUGAAAUCCAAAUAGAUAAACUUGUCAAAUAAGCAAAGAGCAAGUCAAUUCAAAGUUGCCCAAACAGACAAAACAAAGUCCACUGGAUUAGACCUCACCCCCAUAGGCUCAAAUAGCCACCACCAAAUCCACUGAAACAGAAAGCUUCACAUUUUUUCAUUAUAUGAUGCAGCAGUAUGGGUACUGAGGCAUCCCAUAGGGAUUAAUAUUGUAAGGACAAUAAUACAAAGCUAUCAGAACAGUGCUUUAUAACAUCUAUAAAUAGAUCAAAGACAAAUUUUUUCAAGCACAGCCAUUAGUUUACAACCAAAAGCACCAACAAUCAUCCCUUGUUUCUCUUCCCACGUAAGUUCCUUUCUACGAAAAAACCACCAUCAAUAAUUAAAACACAAAAAAAAAAAGGAACUGUCCUCCAAAUAUUGGUCAAACAAUUAAGUUGAACACGCUAAGCUCAGAAGACAUUAAUAUUUCCAACUCUCCCACAACAAAACUUCUGCCAUCCCUCUUAAAUCAAACCCAAACAACACUCCCCACUCCUCAAUAAGCUUUUUAAUUUUUACAAGCCAUUGCGCCUAAUAAGUUAUUGUAUUAUUCCCCGAUUAUUUCCUAGGAUAUCUUACAUUGUCAAUAAUAUUUUGUUUUUUGAGUUUUCUCAUUUGCUUCCAGUACAAUAAGAUCAUUCCUAAAACAAAAGUAAUAAGGCAUGAUAAAACAAAACAUUCUUUCUGACAUAGUCUUACUAUCCAAUUUGCAAAUUAUGCUUUUUUUUUUUUUUGAUAGGUAAGCACAAAAUAUAUUGAUAAGAGGCCAAAAAGCCACAUGCAUACAGGGAGUAUACAAUCUAGCUAGAGCCUCACAAACACAGAGAAAAACAAAAAAAACCCACCAGCCCUUAUGUGGAGGCUAUCCACUCCAGGGAUCCUAUAAGAGACAACGACCUCUCUCCACUAUACAUUCUCGCCCAUCCCCAUAAAAUACAGACAAAAGAAUUUUUUAAUUUCUGGAUAUCUAACACCCCCCCCCCCCUAAAAGCAAGUCUAUUUCUUUCCUUCCAAAGGGUCCAAAAGAUGUACAACGGUAUAGACUUCCAUAUCUUUUUCCUUUUUUUCCCUACAAAAGGGCCCCUCCAGCUUAAUAGGACCUCCUUUACAGUUUCUGGAAAGACCCACUUAACACCAACCAAAGCACAUAUCAUAUCCCAAAGGACUCUUGCCACUAUACAAUGUAUGAGUAUGUGAUUUACAGUUUCCUCUUCACAACCACACAAGAAACACCGAUUAGGGAGAUGCCACCCUCUUUUCUGGAGCCUAUCAAGCGUAAGCACCUUGCCCCAAGUAGCUUCCCAAGCAAAAAACAAGAUUUUUGUUUGAACUUUAUCCACCCAAAUGUUGUUCUUCGGAAAAUUGUUAGCCACAGAAUUUACCACCAAGUUAUAGGCUUCUUUAACUUUAAACUUUCCGUUUCUCCCCCCUUUCCAAAAAACAGCAUCCUCUUCUAAAGUAGGAUUGAACCCCCUCAAUGCAUGAAGCAAAUUACCUACCAAAUCCAACUCCCAAUCAUUAAAGCCCCUCACAAAUCUUACAUCCCAAUCUCCUUGGCCCACAUUCUGGUCCCACAUAUCUUCUACAGUACCAUUCCUAUGAGCAGCCAUCUCAUAGAGGUGAGGAAACCUUUGGGACAGCACUGUACAUCCGCACCAAAGAUCAUUCCAAAAACUGAUUCUGGUACCAUUCCCCAUAAUAAAAGCCAUAUUCUCCCAACACCAAUCUUUUUCCUUCAUAAUUUCCUUCCAAACCCCUACUCCAAAUGUCCCAUUAGCCUUUUUGGUCAUCCAACCAAAUCCCUCUUGCCCAUAUUUCGCCAAAAGCACUUGUUUCCACAAAUUUUCCUUUUCACAAGCAAACCUCCAAAUCCAUUUCCCCAACAAGGCUUUAUUUAACGGGAUUAACUUCCUUAAGCCAAGCCCCCCCUUUUCCUUCUCCGUACACACAACCUCCCAAUUAACAAGGUGCACUUUCCUUUCUAAGUUUCCUCCUCCCCAAAGAAAAUCCCUUUGCAAUUUUUCUAAUCUUCGCGCAACCGACUUGGGCAUACGGAAUAGAGACAUUUGAUACAAAGGUAUACUAGCCAUCGUGCUCUUUAUGCUUCUUAGUUCAAACAAAUUUUAUCUAACUUUACAGUAGAAUGAUUUAUACAAUUAGUUCCCUAAUGCAUUUGCAAUGCUAUAUCUUAAAACCGAAAUAAAUUUUAGAAAGACAAGCUCAUAACAAAAGGGCUAAACUUAUGAAAAACAAGCCAUAAACCUUUAAAUAACUAACAAUAUCAGUAAUAAUACUUGAAAUGAAGAUAAGAAAGAAAAAUAACCUGAGCCCGGACAAAGCCGCAAAGAGCAAAGGUAGUAAAUUGACCGGUGUAAGUUCCACUCUCAUCUAAAUGCCCAAUGUUAAUCUGGACUGAUGCAUGAUCCUUUGAAGUGAUGAGCCUAUUAGUGGCAGAGCUGCAAGUAUAAGAAAAAUCAAUCGGAGUUCCAUGACCCAACACGCUAAAAAAUGGCUAAUCAAUAAAAUAAAGCAGCAUACCACUUCCUAGGGAUGUAAAGAUCCAUGUUUUGUCCCUCUUCGUUCUGCAUCUUGGCUGGUUGUUUAAAUGCUCCCAAUAUACGGAUCUAAAAAUACCUGAUUCAAUAUAAUCAAGUCAAAACAACUACAAGUGCUCACUUUAGAUAAUUAAAAAUACAUAUUGUAGACAAAUUUAAUCAACUAUUUUUUUCAAAAAAUAAAGCAUAUACUCUUCAUAAGAACAAGAAAGGAGCAUUGGUGUAUACGGAUGGAUGCAUCUUUUAUAAAGAAAUUCCUAAUUUUUCCAUAUAAAAUAUUUAAAAAAUAAAAUAAAACAUAAAACACAAAAAAUUGUUUCUAGGGCAAUCGCAUCGUGUAAUCUUAUACAAACACAGCUAAACAGUUCCGCUUGAUUUCUGAGAAACCAUGUGAAAGUAAAAAAUGAAAACUAGUCAUAUAAACAAGAUGGGUUUGCUUAGAUUGGUAUAAAAUUCCUACUAAGUCCUAUCAACCACAAUCAUAUAAACUAGUCAUAAUGGAAGAGAAAUAGGAAGAAUAAGUUCCGUUUGAUUGCCGAUAAAUCAAAGGAAUGCGGGUUGAUACUCAUCUUUAACCAAAUCCCUAACCCAAGGGCACAUCGCAAACUAUUUUCCUAUGCCUUUUCGGCAGCGACAGACAAUCACAAAGUAAAAGAAAUUGUAGAUCUGAAAUUAUAGCAAUGACAUGUAAUUCAAAGAAGAACAGAAACAUGAGAUUUACGAGGGCUUACCAGGAAGAGGAGAGACUGCAACCGCAAAUGGAGGGUUAGGGUUGUCCCGUGGCAUUAUAUAUAGGUGGCUCAAAACCCUAGUCCAGUUAUAAAAUGACCAAAAAGACCAUCUAAAACGGUGUCGUUUCUCUGCUCUUUUCAAAAACCCUAACUCAAAAACUAUUUAUUUCUUUUUUUUUUAAUUUUUAAUUUUAUUUUAUAUAACAAAAUUCAAAGAUAUCGUACCAAAUUUUGAAUCGGAGCCCUUCAUGUGUGUAAGGAUAAAUCUAGACCGUUAAAUAUAUAUAUAUAUAUAUAAAUAAAAUAUGAAGAAAAAAUUAAAUUAGUGUCAAAUGGAGUAGCAUUGUUUAAGCUAAAAAAUAUUAUAUCUAUCUAGUCAAAAUCUUAUGAAUGGUAAACGGAAUUUUAAUCAUAUUUUAGCCGAAGAUAUCAACUUUUUUUUUAUUUUAUGAAAUGAGACUACGAAAUAGAAUACCUACAAAUACAAUUGAAAUAUGAGUUACAAUCAUCUUUGAAACUAAACUUUAUAAUAUUUUUAGGGAAAUUUGAUCACCAAAUUAUUGAUUUUAAAUUAUAAAUACUUCUUUUAACUAAACAAUUUUCCAUUUACUUUCUUAAAAUAAUAGUAAUAUUUUAAAAUAAAUAAAAUCAUAAGCUAAAUAAUUUAUGACAAGUGUACUUAAAUCUAGAGUCCAUCUGAUUGUAUUCUUAAAAAACACUUUUAGUUUAAUAAAUGUUUAAACAAUUUAGGCAUUUGAAAAAAAUUUAUGAACACAUUUUUAAAUUUUUGAAAAAUCAUUUUCAAUGUUUUUUUUUAAUAAUUUUAAGAAGCAUUUUUAAUUUAAUAUAUAUUUUGUUUAAAUAAGGUGUUUGAUAUAUUUUAAGAAAUACUUUUAAAAAUCUUAAAAAAUUAUUUGUAACGUUAAAAAAUCACUUAUAAUAUUUUCUAAAAAACCACUUUAUAAAUGAUUAUUCCAAAAACAUUUUUAGAUAAAACAUUUUGAGUAAAAACACUGUUAAAAACAUUCUUAGAGUUUGUUCGAUAAUGAUUUUAAGAAUUACUUUCAAUAUUUUUUAACAUUUGAAAUUUUUUAUAUUUUAAGUGUUAAAAAAAUUAGAAAUAUUUUAAAAAUUUAUUACCAAAUGUACUUUUAAAUAGUAUUAAAUACUAUUUUUAGGAGAAUCACUUGUUUUUUUUAAAUAACUAUAAGUGAUUUUUCAACACUACAAGUAAUGAAAUUAUACAUAAUAUAAUUAUAAUUUUGAAAAACAUAAAUUAUUGAAGUAAGAAAAAUAUUAGAUUUGUCAAAUUUUUUACUUUUUUUUCGUUUAUCUAAUGAAAAAUUAUAAAAUAAAUUUUGUGUGUACAAUGUACAUGUAUAUAUAUAUACAUAUAGAUUCCCGCCAAAGAGUAGGUGGUAGUCUGGUAGGCUGGAGGGAAGAAAAUGGAGUGGAGUCUGAGCGGGAACGCUCUCAAGACCUUCGCUCGCUCUGUCACGUGCCUUGCACGUGUGGGAAACGAGCUCGCCAUCCAAGCUUCUCCUUCUCAGGUACUUUCUUGGCAAGCAAACAGAGAUCCAUUUUCUUUCAACUUUCUCUUUGAUUCUUACUUUUUCAUCGUCUUGUUUAACCCUGCAAUUGGAUGCUUUUCCACAAGGAAACAAUAGUAUUUAGGCGAUAGUGUUAAUCGAAUUUGUCUAUUUGUGUUUUUGUUUGGUCCGUUGUAAUAAAAUGCCCUAGAAUUUAAUUCCAUCAAUUCGAGAGUGAUUUGCUUGGUUUUGAAGCAAAUGGUGCUUUUACUGCGAUUGAAAGCUGUGGUAAAGCGAUGGUGAUUAGGGUUUGGAAGUAGCGGAUGAAGCAAAAUUAUAAGGUUUGGCUUGGUUUCUGGGAAAUUGGAAGAAAAGAAGGGAGAAUUAAAACUUUCUAGCAUAUAUUUUGUGUUCUUUUGGUUUGCCGAUAACCUGUUAUUAAUAUCAAUACAAUUGACAAUAAGGUAAUUCAAUGCUCCUUAGUCCUUGCCUGGAGAAUAAAAUAAAAGAAAAGAGCAGAGAAUAAGAUUGUAAGUUCAUUUUCUUUUGUUUUUUCUGUUUUUUUGGUUUGUGGAAUUAUUUAAAAAAAAUCCCCCAACUAAGAAUCCGUUUGGUGGUGAUUCUAGGAAGCACUUUUAACCUUUUUAGCACUUGGAAUUUUUUUAUCUAAAGUAUUAUUUUCAAGUGCUAGAAAUGCUUCCUAGAAAAACUGCCAAACAAGCUCUAAGUCAUCCAGAGGCAUUACAUUCUAUUGAGUGGAAAUUUUCAUUUCUUGCUUCUCAAGAAUUGAAGAUUUUAUUAUUUUAGUUUAUUCUGAUAGCUUAUUUUGUUUCUUGACAACUAAAGAACAUUAGCGAAGAUAGAGCCCCUAUCUGAUUUGGACCCUUUCAACUCACUUGCACAAUGUUAAAGAUCAGAACAGGCAGUUAGCAAAAAAAAAAAAUAGCAACAAAUGGCUUAUUGGAAGAUAGUUAUUAUUAUCCUCAUUUUUUGGCGUAAAAUUAAAGCUUAUUUGUUUAUUUACUCAAAUUUUCUGCAGCUUGCUUUUCACACAAUCAAUUCAUCACGGUCGGCCUAUCAAUCUAUUACAUUUAAGCCUGAUUUCUUUGAUUUAUAUACAAUUUCUGGUGCCCAAGUACAAUGCAGUGUGCUUUUGAAGGUAAGCCACCCCAAUAACUUUGUUAGAACUAACUGGAUCACACAAUUUUUGUCAUCUUCUCUAACUCAACCUUUUAGGCCAUUUGUGCUGUUCUGAGGACACCCAUUGCAAGUAUUGAUCAUUUGUCCGUGCAAUUGCCUGAUCCUGAUGCGUCAAAACUGCAGUUGACUUUGAAUUGCUACAAUGGUAAAGGGCUCUUUCCUAUCUCUUAUGUGUUAUUCAUCCUAGCUGUUAAAUGAAAAUAGGAAGUGGAUCUUCGAGAUGCCCACCCUGCAUAAAACACAGUAAGCAGAGAUUGAUGGCCAGUUGCACACAUAUGCCAAUUGGUGAUAUUCAAUUUUACAUUUGCUGCAAUUGUGAUUUAUAAGAAGCAUACUAACUCCCCUGAUGGCAUUUAAUUAGGUGUUGUUUGCAAAUGAAAUUUAUCCUCUGUGUUUUAUGCAACUCUUUAAUAGAUUAGUUGGACUUGUAAAAUGUGGUCAUCACCAUAUUUGCCAGCAUGAUAAUAACCCAAUGGAAACAAGGUCAUUUGAAAUUAUGACCUUAUUUUUAAUAGGUAAGGAGCAUGAAUGGAUCAUUUAAAUCCAUCAAAUGUCUAGAUCAAUUUCAUAGCAAAUGGUUCUUAAAAGCUUACAACUGGAGAGUGGCAAAAAGGGCCUUAUGUUCAUACACAACCAAUGAGAUAACAUUUUGUACAACUUUCAUAACAGAUAGAUUGUUAUAGCAACUAGGAAGAGGAUCUGUGUUUUAUAAACUAAGAGUUCUGGAAUCCAGAAUUGGACUUUGAAUCCUAAUCACAUUAAUUGAAUACUAUAAUUUGUGAUGUUCAAUGCUAUGUGUCUUCAUUUCAUAAUUGAUGUAGGACAACCCUAGGAUGGUUGCCUAUAUUCAAAUAGGUGGGCUAGGUUCUCCAUUUUUAGAGUGUAAGGAGAGGAACAAGGAAUAAAGUUUAUGGUAGAGAAAAAAAAAUAAAAAUAAAAAUAGAGAGAAAGAAGAUAUGACAAAGAAAAGAUGGAAACCUUAGAGUCUCACUAAGGCCUUCUAAGAGUCUCACCAUCGAGGAUUGCAACACUUGCAAUAAAAAAAAAAAGGUUAUUAACAUCAAUUAAUUCAUUCUUUGAUUUACAUCGAUUAGCUUUAUUUAUAGGCUUCUCUAAGAAAUCCAAAGUCUACUAAGAUUCUAAUAGCCUAUUAUGACUCUAAUUCUUAUUAUUUUUUUUUUAUAAGUAAAAGAUAUGCAUUAAAAAAGGCAAAACGCCGCACAGCAUACAGGAAGUAUACAAAACAGCAUAGGCCUCAAAAAACAAAACAAAGGAUCACCUCCCAUUAAGUGGAGGCUAUCCACUCUAAAAAGUCUAUAAGGGAGAACGCCUCCUUCACCUACAUACAAUUUGGCCCAACUCNNNNNNNNNNNNNNNNNNNNNNNNNNNNNNNNNNNNNNNNNNNNNNNNNNNNNNNNNNNNNNNNNNNNNNNNNNNNNNNNNNNNNNNNNNNNNNNNNNNNAAAAAGCAUAAAACUCCCAUUUAAAUUAAAAGGCUACACUCACUAAACUUUUUUAGAAAAUGUUUCCACUAAUUUUCAAUUAUUUUUUUUUUUUUUUGGAAAAGAAAAAGAUAUGCAUUAAGAAAGGCUGAACCCCCCCCGGCAUCCGGGAAGUAUACAAAACAGCUGGGGCCUCAAAAAAAAAAACAGAGAAUCCCCUCCCUUAAAGUAGGGGCUAUCCACUUUAAAAAGCCUAAAAGGGAGAACCCCUCCUCCCCUUCAUAAAAUUGGGCCCAACUCCACAAGUUACAAAAAAAAAAAUUUUUUAAUUUUUGAACAUUCAAAACCCCCCCCCCCCCCUAAAAGCUAAUCUAUUCCUCUCCUUCCAUACCGUCCAAAAAAUGCACAACGGAAUGGCAUCCCAUAUCUUUUUCCUUUUCUUUCCCACAAACGAGCCCCUCCAACUAGCUAAGACCUCCUUUACAGUUCCCAGAAAAACCCAUUUUACAUCAACUAAACCAAAGACAAUAUCCCAUAAAGCUCUAACCACUGUACAAUAUAUAAGGAUAUGAUUUACACUUUCUUCUUCACAUUCACACAAGAAACACCGAUUUGGAAGUUGAAAUCCUCUUCUUUGAAGACUAUCCAAAGUUAGCACCUUCCCCCAUGACGCCUCCCACGCAAAAAAAGCAACUUUAGUUGGCACUCUUGCCACCCAAAUGCUUUUAUGGGGAAAUCCCAUAACCUCAUAAUUUGUCAACAAACUGUAAGCUUCCUUAACCCUAAACUGACCACUUCUUCCUUUUCUCCAUAUAACUGAAUCUUCCUCCAAAGAAAGUUUAAAACCCCUCAAAAUGUGGAGGAACUCCCUAACCAACUCAAUCUCCCAAUCAUUGAAGUCCCUCAAGAAGUGUAGGUUCCAGUUUCCUUGACCCGAAUUUUGAUCCCACAUUUCCUCAACCGUCAAACUCUGAUGCGCAGCCAUACCAAAGAGAUGAGGGAAACAUUGAGCCAAUGAAGAUUCUGAGCACCACACAUCUGUCCAAAAACAAAUCAAGUUGCCUUUUCCUACACGAAAUGUUAUGUUAUCCCAACACCAAUCUGAUUCUUUCCAAAUCUCCUUCCAAACCCCUACACCAACCGCCUCAUUUCCCUUUUUGGGCCUCCAAUCAAGACCCUCCUGCCCAUACUUCACCUUAAUCACUUGUCUCCACAAAAUAUUUUUUUCACAUGCAUAUCUCCAUAUCCACUUGCCAAGUAAAGCUUUGUUCAACAAAGCUAGCUUUCUAAGGCCUAGCCCACCUUUCUCUUUGUCUGUACAAACCACCUCCCAUUUAACCAAAUGCACUUUUCUCUCCAUGUUUCCCCCUCCCCACAGAAAAUCCCUUUGCACUUUCUCAAUCCUUCUAACAACAACCUUUGGCAUUCUGAAAAUGGACAUUUGGUAGAUUGGCAUGCUAGCCAAUGUACUUUUUAUUAAGGUGACUCUUCCUCCUUUAGAAAUGUAUUGCCGUUUCCAAAGAGCUAGUCUCCUCCUCACUCUUUCCUCCACCCCAUCCCAUAUAUAAGGCGCUCUAUUUGGGGCUCCUAAAGGAAGACCCAAAUACUGAGAAGGUAGAGUCCCCACCCUACAGCCAAGCUCAACAGCCAACUCCUCCACCUCCACCACCUCACCAAUUGGAAUGAUUUCACUCUUGGCUAAGUUAAUCUUUAAGCCUGAAGCCGCUUCAAACCAGAAUAAAAUCCACCCCAAGUAAGAUAGGUGAUCCUUUCUGGCCUCACAGAAGAUAAUUGUGUCAUCAGCAAAAAAUAAGUGAGAGAUGUUCAAAGAAGGACCACUUCCACCCCUUAUGUUGCAUCCUGAUAAGAACCCCCCCUCCACAGCUCUCCUAAUAAGCACAUCAAGCACUUCCAUCCCCAUGAUGAAGAGGUAAGGAGACAACGGAUCCCCUUGUCUAAGGCCUUUAGUGCUAGGGAAGAAACCAGCAGGCACUCCAUUCACCAACACUGAAAAUUUAGCUGACGAUAGGUAGCUCCACAUCCACCCCACCCAUUUAGACCCGAAUCCCAUCUUUUGUAACACCUUCACCAAGAACUUCCAAUUGAUGCAGUCAUAGGUUUUCUCUAUAUCCAACUUGCAUAUAAUGCCCUUUUCCUUUUGUCUCUGCCACGUGUCUAUUACUUCAUUUGCAACUAAAGACGCAUCAAGGAUUUGUCUUCCCUUCACAAAGGCAUUCUGAGAAGUGGAUACCACCUUACCAACUACUUUCUUCAGUCUGUUAGCUAGCACUUUAGCCAAUAACUUGUAGAGCCCCCCCAAGAGACUAAUCGGUCUGAAAUCUCUAAGGUCCUCAGCCCCACUUUUCUUGGGGAUCAGCACCAAGAAGGUAUUAUUAAGACUCUUGAGGAAAGAACUGUGGUCAUAGAAGUCUUUGAACAUUUCCAAAAUUUCCUCUUUAAUGAACUCCCAGCAACUUUGCCAAAAUGCCAUUGUAAAGCCGUCCGGACCAGGGGCUUUAUCCCCAUUCAUCUCCAUCAGAGCUACAUAGAUUUCCUCCUCUGUAAAGGGCCUCUCCAAGGUCUCAGCAUCUUGUUGGCUGAUCUGGUCUAACCGAAGGCCCCCUAUGUCCGCCUUCCACCCCAUAUCUUCUGAGAGCAAACUUUGGAACGUGCUAGCAAUUCCUUCCCUGAUUUCCUGCUCCUCUAACAGCCACUCCCCAUUGAUCUUUAUUCUCUCCAAAUGAUUAUUUCUACAGUGAGCGCUUGCCAUACGAUGAAAAAAGCCCGUGUUUCUAUCCCCCUCCUUCAGCCAUAUUUCCCUAGAAAGCUGUCUCCAAUGGGUCUCUUCCAUAAUCACCCAUUUCCUAUAAUUAUCCUUUGCUUCUUUCUUAAGCUCUGUUUCCUCCACAGUCAGAAUUCUCCCACUUUCCUCCCUAUCCCAAAACUCCACCUGCUGCAAGGCUGAGGAUUUAUUGGUCUCCAGCUUCCCAAAAACUUCUCUAUUCCAGACUUUCAAUUUCUGUUUGACUUCCUUCAUCUUAAUAGCCAACUUGUAACUACCACUGCCUCUAACCUCAGUUCCUUGCCACCAGCUGCGCACUAAAUCUUUGAAGCCCUCAACCUUAAGCCACAUAUUUUCAAAUCUGAAUGGAGUUGGGCCUCGUCUUAUCCCCCCCACAAGCAUAAUUGGGAAAUGAUCGGAGACCGGACGGGACAGCCUACAUUGACUAAUCCCAUUGUAUUGGUCAGUCCAACUAGGGGAAACAAGGAACCUAUCCAAUCUUGCCCAGACCUGAUUGUUUUGUCCCCCAUUCCAAGUAAAUUCUCUCCCUUGAAGUGGGAGAUCCAUCAGCCCCAGGUCAUCCACUAUUUCCGCAAAUUUCCUCAUUGCUGAAUUCAUCCUUCUCUGGCUGCUCCUUUCCCUCGGAAACAAGGUUAUGUUAAAGUCCCCCCUAUACACCACGGGUCUUCCCACAGCCCUCUAAUCGCCCCCAACUCAUCCCAUAAAGCCUCCCUUUCCAUCUUGGAGAACAGGCCGUACACUCCCGUAAAAAUCCAAAUCGCCCCAUUUUCUACAUUCCGGAAUCUACAAGAUAAGGUAAACUGGCCCUCUUCCCAAUCUAGAACCUCCAGGGUCCUUUUAUCCCAGCACAUCAGAAUUCCUCCUGAAGCUCCUUCCGCAUUCACAGCCUUCCACUCAAGGAAUCUGCCAGAGCCUAUGCUUCUCGCUAUGUUAUCCGACAUCGCUUGAAUUUUAGUCUCCUGAAUACAGAUUACGUCCACCCUCUGAUUCCUUAUAAAUGUCUUAAUGACUUUUCUUUUAGAGCUAUCAUUUGCUCCCCUCACAUUCCAACUCAGAAUUUUCAUCUUCAUUGGACAAUCAUAAUCUGGAGCCCUUUGCCCUGUACCGAGCCUUUUUGUUUAAUCCCCCCCUCAUAAUUAAUGGAGCAUUCCAGUCUUUUUAACUCCCUUUCAAACUUAGAUUUUUCCAAUAGCUCUUUACUAUGGAUUUUCUCCCUUCUCUUUCUAAUUUGAGACAGAAACUUCAGUAUUUCCUUCUCCAAUCCCUCCGUGGGGAGUCCCAGGAAUUGACUGAAUUUUGCCAGAUCACUCUCCUCCCAUUUAUCCUCCUGCAUUCCUCUCUCUGUUUGAGUAUCACAUAUGGCACCGACCUCAAGAAUCCCCCUUUCCAUAGCACUGCUGCUUUCCUUUGCUCCCACCUCCUUGCAUCCAUUGCUCCUCUCAACACAGCCCUCAUAUACCGUUAGCCACAUUGUAUUGUCAACCCGAACCCUCUCAUUCCAAUCACCAGAAUGAUCAACAGACUCCACUCCCGGAGUCUGAUCAAAAUUAAAAGAGUUGAGAUGAGAAAUCCCNNNNNNNNNNNNNNNNNNNNNNNNNNNNNNNNNNNNNNNNNNNNNNNNNNNNNNNNNNNNNNNNNNNNNNNNNNNNNNNNNNNNNNNNNNNNNNNNNNNNNNNNNNNNNNNNNNNNNNNNNNNNNNNNNNNNNNNNNNNNNNNNNNNNNNNNNNNNNNNNNNNNNNNNNNNNNNNNNNNNNNNNNNNNNNNNNNNNNNNNNNNNNNNNNNNNNNNNNNNNNNNNNNNNNNNNNNNNNNNNNNNNNNNNNNNNNNNNNNNNNNNNNNNNNNNNNNNNNNNNNNNNNNNNNNNNNNNNNNNNNNNNNNNNNNNNNNNNNNNNNNNNNNNNNNNNNNNNNNNNNNNNNNNNNNNNNNNNNNNNNNNNNNNNNNNNNNNNNNNNNNNNNNNNNNNNNNNNNNNNNNNNNNNNNNNNNNNNNNNNNNNNNNNNNNNNNNNNNNNNNNNNNNNNNNNNNNNNNNNNNNNNNNNNNNNNNNNNNNNNNNNNNNNNNNNNNNNNNNNNNNNNNNNNNNNNNNNNNNNNNNNNNNNNNNNNNNNNNNNNNNNNNNNNNNNNNNNNNNNNNNNNNNNNNNNNNNNNNNNNNNNNNNNNNNNNNNNNNNNNNNNNNNNNNNNNNNNNNNNNNNNNNNNNNNNNNNNNNNNNNNNNNNNNNNNNNNNNNNNNNNNNNNNNNNNNNNNNNNNNNNNNNNNNNNNNNNNNNNNNNNNNNNNNNNNNNNNNNNNNNNNNNNNNNNNNNNNNNNNNNNNNNNNNNNNNNNNNNNNNNNNNNNNNNNNNNNNNNNNNNNNNNNNNNNNNNNNNNNNNNNNNNNNNNNNNNNNNNNNNNNNNNNNNNNNNNNNNNNNNNNNNNNNNNNNNNNNNNNNNNNNNNNNNNNNNNNNNNNNNNNNNNNNNNNNNNNNNNNNNNNNNNNNNNNNNNNNNNNNNNNNNNNNNNNNNNNNNNNNNNNNNNNNNNNNNNNNNNNNNNNNNNNNNNNNNNNNNNNNNNNNNNNNNNNNNNNNNNNNNNNNNNNNNNNNNNNNNNNNNNNNNNNNNNNNNNNNNNNNNNNNNNNNNNNNNNNNNNNNNNNNNNNNNNNNNNNNNNNNNNNNNNNNNNNNNNNNNNNNNNNNNNNNNNNNNNNNNNNNNNNNNNNNNNNNNNNNNNNNNNNNNNNNNNNNNNNNNNNNNNNNNNNNNNNNNNNNNNNNNNNNNNNNNNNNNNNNNNNNNNNNNNNNNNNNNNNNNNNNNNNNNNNNNNNNNNNNNNNNNNNNNNNNNNNNNNNNNNNNNNNNNNNNNNNNNNNNNNNNNNNNNNNNNNNNNNNNNNNNNNCCUCCUCUGUCCAGCACCCCACUCCUCGGACUCCAAAAAUCCAACCCUACCUGGACUCUUCUAUCGUGCGAUUUCCAGAAGAAACAACACGACGCGCCUCUUCCAAGUCUUCAAAGUCCAGUAGAACCCUUCCCUUUUCCAUUUUAGCCAACCCUAGGCUACCUUUAAGCUCCCACGAUUUUGCCCAACACUGUCCCAACUUCUCAAGAUCAUCCUCUUCCCCUACGUUACUCCUCCUGCUCGCCACAACACAGUGUUCCAACUUCUUCAACAAUCCCAUCGAAUCCUCUCUUUUGACCUUCACUGCGAUCGCGUUUGGAUUGCCCAACAAAGCGCGUUUUGCUAUUGUUGCGUAUGAAUUCCCCCCAACAAUUUUCCCCAUAGCCUUUCCUUCCUGGGUUUUUGAUCUACUAACAAAAGCACCUAUCACCUCUUUAAUCUUGUCCGCCAUGGUCAUCCACCCCCGCUUUUCCUUUCUACCUCUCGGGAUGAAGAUGCAGAAGUGUUUCCUCUCAAGAUCGGAGACCCCUAGCCGGAUAUACUCCCCCGCGUUGUUUAUCCCUCGUGACAUAGAGAAUGUUCGGCCCUGUUCCUUCCACUCCCUUCCCCAUCCUGUUUCUUUCUCAUCCAUAAUACAGAGUUUCAGACCUUCCAUAAACAACCCUAAACUGUCCGAACCCAAACGAACCCAUGACUCAACCCCUCCCUUCUUCUCCACAAUGAGGACUUGGAGUUUUCCUUUCCUCUCGUCCCCAAUAAUCUCAAACUCCUUUGAUUCCACGCUAAAUUUGCAUUCCUUCCUUCUGCGUCGCGGCGCCGAUCCUUCAUCCCCCUCCUCACCAUUGCAGUCUCCUGCGCACUCUCUCUCCCCUUCUUUCGCUCUCUCUCUCUCUCCCAUUUUUAUUGGCAUUCAAAUAGGUGUACCACUUUAUUAUAACAUCCAAAGUUUACUAGGAUUCUAAUAACCUAUGAUUCUAAUUCUAAUUGUCUUAUAACCUAUUUAGUUAACCCUAAUUUGACUCCAACAAAUACUAAUACUAAUUUAAUUCCAACUAAUUCUAAUCCUAAUUUAACUCCAAGUAAUGCUAAUUUGACUCUAAUUGCAACUAAUACAAAUUCCCUUUCUUGAUGUAUAUCUUAGAGAUUCAUCCCUCAUCAAUAAUCUUCUAAUAUUAUACUUCAUUUGGACCCAUCAGGGCUUAAACUUAAUACUAGUCAUUGUGCAGGUGUGAAAAAGGCCUAUUGGAUUACUUGCAAUGUUGAACCCGACAUACAACAUUUGUCUCUUGAUAGGACAAGAUUCCCCAGCAACUUUGUAGUGAGGCCUCGAGAUCUCAACAGACUGCUAGCUAAUUUUCAGUCAUCUCUUCAGGAGAUUACAAUCAUUGCAACAGAACCCACUUCCUUACCCUCUGAUGCUGCAGGUGAAAUAGGCGGAAAAGCUGUUGAACUUAGAUCUUAUAUAGAUCCAACCAAAGGUAUGUUAAGAUAUUCCAUAUCUAUAAAUUACAUGAUCCAACCAUGGCUGGACCAGGGUAUUAUCAUUUCCCCCCCUUUAUUAUCACUAACUGUUAUUGGUGCUUCACAUUUUCAACUGCAGACAAUGACUCCUCAUUACACACUCAGUUGUGGAUAGAUCCUAUGGAAGAGUUUGUGCAGUAUGUGCACUCUGGAGACCCUGUAGAUGUGACAUUUGGUGUGAAGGAAUUGAAGGUAUCGUAGACCUUUCCCUGAAAUCUAGUUUUGAGUUCCAUUAAUGUGUGGUAAUAUAUUUAACUUAACAAAAGCCAUACAACAUCCCUAUCAUUAUCAUUUGUAUUAUUUGACACUGUCUGGAUAUAAGGUUAUUUAGCUGCUAUAAUUAAUUUAUUGGUAUAUAUUGGACUACCAAAUUUCAGGCAUUUCUGUCUUUCUGUGAGGGAGGUGAAGUUGAUAUUCACUUAUUUUUUGAGAAAGCUGGCGAGUAAGAUAUUUAUGAAUCCUAUGCCACUUUUUAUUUAUUAUUUAUUGUUUUCUAUUUUAAUUCACCUAGCUUUCUUUCUUUUUACAGUAUGUUUUGCUUUGUUUUCUCUCUCCCCAUCCAUCCAAAACAGGAUAACUGAAAAGAUGAAUUCUAGAGUGAACUGCAAACCUAAAGCCCUUAUAUGCACUAUUAAUGUUGGACAUUCAUAAUUUUGAGUAUGGCUUUCAUUCAUGAUAUUGGUGAACCACAAAUGGGCCAAUACUGCCUUGUAUGAUAAUACAACUUGGUGCUCACCAAGAUGAAAUGGUAGAAUAAAAGAAUGUAUAAUAUUGCUAUAGUCAUGAACUAACCUGGGAACAGAAAAACACAUAUUGAAUUAAUGAGAUUAAUAAAAUUAACUGUUCUUUACUAAGAUUUGUUGGUGAAGGUUAGUAGAAGUACUGCCUCUCUGGUCUAUAACACUGCUAUAUUAAAUUUUUAUAUUUAGUACAUCAGUAUCUUUAAAAUGUCAAAAUACUUUAGGAUAGAACAACUACGAAGCAUCUCCUCCUUCAUAUUGCAUCAAUUUACUCACUAAAAUAACCAGAAAAUGGCAUGUGUUCCAGAUUUGUUUGAUGCUAUAAACACAAGCCUAAAUUUAUCCAUCUAUUACUUUCUGUUGUAAUCUGGCACCUGUCACCUGUGAUUACUACCCUUUUUUUUUCUCAGACAGAUAUUAAUGGAAAUCAAACAGAUAACUUACAUACAAGACCGUGUUACAAGUUUUGUUAGCAAAAUAGGUUUUGGUCUGGAUUAAUCCUCUAAUGUAUUAUAUUUAUGUGAGUAGUUUUUAACCUGUGCCUUUCUACCACAUUAUAAAUCCUUAUUGCCAGCUACCCAUAUGUCUUGGUAUCAUUAAUGCUUGAAUUUAAACCACAAAUUUGAAUUUACCACAUACCUAAACUGAUUUUUUUGGGUAGUUUUGAAUCUGUGCUUUUUCUAUCAAAUCAUAAAUUCUGAUUGCCUGCUACCCAUAUGCCUUGGUAUCAUUAAUACUUAAAUUUAAACCACAGGUUCAAAUUGACGAGAUAUGUAAACUGAUUUUAACAAUUCCAUUACGUAUCUUAUUUUGGAUGGUUGGACAAAUUAUAAAGGAACAGUCUCUGGGAAACUAUGAAUAGUUCACAAACUUUUAGGAGCAUCUACUUAGUGGUUUCAAGGGCAUGUUUUCUAAGGAGGUGGUCAUCCUACUAAAUGCUUCAAACUCAUGGUUCUUGUUUUACAUCUUGGAUAAAAGUUUUACAGCAUGCAAUAUAUGGUUUUGAUCAUGAAAAAACUUCUACUGGGGAAACAGGCCAAUUUUAAUGGCACCAAAAUUCGGUUUGGAUGAUGGAUCCAGUUCAAAUUUUGAUGCUACACUUGUUCUCGCGACCAUGCUUACAUCACAGCUUCAUGAAGGAAAUCCUUCACAAGCUCCGCCAGCAGAUGAUGUAAUGAUUGGCCAAGCUGAUCACGGGAUGGGUUCCCAAGCACAACAAGGGAUUCCAAGAGCAAAUGUUUCUGGGCAUCCAUCUGAUCACACCAAAAUUUGGUCUGACCUCUCAGGUAAUUAUCUUCUCAUUGUUUCAAUGAUGACAAUAUAUCAUGCAUUGAAGGUUACUAACUAUUGUCAUUUUAACCAGGAAGUGCAGCCAAAAGUGGCAGUGGUGCUGAAGGCAGGCAUGUUCAGGACGAAAGAAAUCCAAGUGCUGCUGAGCAAAGGGAAAUUCAAAGGAUUAGUACAAUACAAAUUUCAAAGGCAAGAUCUGCUGGGGGAAAUGUGCCUGGUGGCUCUAAUCCGUAUCCUAAACUUUCUCAUUUGCAUGAGCAUGUUGUCUGCUCAAGUCUUCUGCUUAAAUGCCUCAUGGAGUCCUUGUUGUUUACUAAUGGCUGCUGCAAUUCUUUUUUGCUUCUUUAUCUUUUCUCAUUUUGGAGUAAUCUCAUAUGCAAAUGCCACAAAUUAGUGUGGGAGGUAAUAGUUUCUAUGUGAAGGGCACUUCAGGGGGUGAUUGCCUGUCUCGGAGUUGAUCAUUAAAAGCUCACAAUCGUGAAAGAGUAUUUACGGUUUUGAAGGGGAUGGCACAAAGUGUGAAGCAUGGAUCAUUAAGGACCUCCAUAUGCUUGGACUUUAACACAGGUUAAUUGCUAUAUUUUCUUGUUUAGGUCUUCCACCCCUUCUGCCCUUUUUUUUGUAAAGCAUAGUUUUGUUGUUUAAGGACAUUAGGAAAGAAUAAAAGGCAGGCAAAAAGGAGGCAUCUCAAAACACAGUUUUGUCGCAAACCUUAGCUGUACUUUGUCUAAUGUCUGAGGCUUAGGCAUCAAACUUCAAAUGGAUCUUAAAGCAUUAUGUCAUGAUUCGUGUGCAUUACAUUUUGAGAUCCAAUCCUAAUGGAAAAUCUUCCUUUGGGCCCUGGGUUGGUGGUUUUCUUUUAGCCUAAUAUGUGAUCUACUUCUAUCAUGCCAUUUGAUCAUGAGAAGUAGUUUUUUGAGGAAGAAAACACAUGAUGUAGAAUCAUUUUGGAGGUUUUAAUGGGAAAUAUCAAUCAUUAGUAUGAUAAAAUUUGGUGUGAAGAGCAAGCCAUGAGAGGAUCUGUCAGUGGAAGAACUAUCUUCUACAUAUUUCAAUACACUUAGUUAUUAUUUGCAAGAAGUAGAUCCCAGAUAUGGUAUUCAAAAAUCUGUAUUACUGUUCAGCUACAUCUAUCCAUGCUAGAGCAGAGGUACUCUGCUGAUUCUACUCCUUCUUUAGGUAAUGGAAAGUUGGGAUGCCGUUAUAUGGAAUGAAUUAGAUUUACCACCCUUCAUAUAAAUAUUAUCUGAAUCCUUCAAUAAUAUGGUUAUCAACAUUAGAUCACAGUGAUAUACUGUCUCCUCCAGUGUGAGGUAUACACAUUUCGUCUAUCUUUUGCCAUUCAUAAUAGACAGCCAUGGCAGAGAAAUGAUACAAUGUAGAGAAAACAACACAAAACCUCUGCACUUGCAAAAGAGAAUCCUGAGCACCUCGUUCACUCUAGAAUACUAAGGCUGUUUGAACAAUCUUGCAGAAGUUUUGUUAUAUAUUGAAAUUUACUCCAUGGCUCUGCCCAGAAAAAAUGUCAAGUAAUUCUCUUGACUGAAUGAUUUAGCUGCCGACCUACAGAAGCAGAUCGCGCAGAAGAUCCUCAAGGUUAGUAAAAGAACCAGUUUGUUUGGUUAACCUUACUCAUGCAAUAAUAAACAUUUUUCUGCUUGGUCCCUUUCAGAUGGAACAGAAAUUAAUGCUCAAGCUUUUUCGCAACGCCAUCCUAGCAACUGGGUAGAUGCUGAUGAAGAUGACGAAGAAGCAGAUGAUAAUGAACUGUGUGUUCAGUCAACCCCUCCAUACUAUGAAUAACAAAUAAGAAUUAUGCGUCUCCUUUUCCUCAUGAUAACUGAUGUUUCUCUUCUUUUAACCUGUAAGUGCAUGUUUCACAGCUUUGUCCUUUAACUACUAUCCUGUUGAACUAAUUCAGUAUUUUUUUUUCCCCAUUUUGCAAUGUUAUUUACUUAAUUCUCCUCUAAUGCAAGGAUCUUACUGUGUCAGAUAUCGUGUUCUGAAUCCAGCAUUUUAGAGCUGUUGCUUGAUAAUGUGCUCUGGUUUCGGGUGAUGGGAACCGGAGGCAUUACAUGAGUUUGAUUGGUUGAAACCAGGUAAAAGUUUAAAUAUGAGAUCAGUAGACUAACAUUUAAUAGGAUGAUGAGAUGAUAACUGAUUGUAUUGUAUUACCAUUGCUGUAUUUGGGUUUAUUAGGUUUUGUAUCAUUCUCUUCUGUCCAUCAAAGUAGGAUGCAAAUUGGAAUACUAGGAUCUUUGUCCUUCGACCUAGUAUAGUUUGAUAUUUUUAAAGAACAUAUUUUAGUUGUUUUAGUUUGUUUUCUAAUUAUUAUUUUUUUAAAAUAAUUAUAUAAAAAUAGAGAAUAAUUAAAAAUGAAACAUAUAUAAAACUAUUUUUAAAAGAUAUUUUAAUUUUUUUUUAAAUAAGUUAAAAAUAUUUUAUAUUAUUAAACAAAUUUUUGUUCCAUAAACUAUCAUAAAACACUUUUUCAAAAUUAUUAUCAAACUUAACCGAAGUUUUUGAAACUUCAAAAACAAGUUUGGUAGAGAAUCGAGUUAAACUAGUUUUUUUAAAACACAAAUUUAAGUUGUUUUUAAUGGUUUUUUCUGGAGUGUUCUAAUAAGUAAUUGACACGUGCGCUCUUGGGGGUAUUUUUUGUAUUGUACAUGAAUGAAUAGUGUUUUUAUAGAAAAUAAGCAGAGAAGUAUAUUUUAUAUUUGAAUUCCCAAUAACGUUGUGUUUUAAAACAACCGAGAAAUGUCUACAAAUUGUCUCCAAAUAAAAUUAUUGUUUGAGAAUUGUUUUUAUUUAUUUAUUUAAAUUGCCAAAUAGACACAAACUUAUCAAAUUCCGAAAUCUUUAAAAUGUUCUUUUUAUCAUUUGUCACAAAGGUUUCAGUUCAUCAGUUCAUUUCUGAAUUUAUAUAUAUUAAAGGUAUUUAUUAUAAAAUAUAAUUUUUUUAAUAUUAUUUUUAAAUCUAUAUAUUUUUAAAGACAUCGAUUUGGAAGUUAUUUUUUUGAAAAGACAAUUUUAAUUUAAAUAUUGAAGUUUUACGGGCACACCAAAUUUCAACUUUAUAUACUGGAGGUACAUACACUGGUAUUUCUGCAAUGUGAAGGGACUUGGUCAGGGUCUUAAAACUACAGCAAACUUCUGAAAAUCAGGUGACAUGAAAUAAUUAAAGUUGAAUAGUAGACAAAUUUAGAUGGUAUUUGUUUUUUUGGCUUUUUACUGAAAACCAUUUAGUUUUAAAAUUUAGAUUGUUUGUUUUUUUAUUUUUUUAUGACUUAUUAUAAAUUUUUUACUAAAUAGAAAAAAUCAGAAUAUAUGGCGUAGGAAUGUUCGGGCUGAGCAAAGACUUCAAAGUCAGUUCAGGCUGACUUCUAAACUAACCAAAUCGUGCAGAAUUUCAUCGAUAAGGGUGCUUGCCUUACCGGAGUCCAAGAGGCCGAUGCAGAUCGACAAGUAGACCUUUCCUAAGCAGGUCCAUACUGCCGGAGUUGCUAAAAUGGAAGAAGAAAAUCCGUUACUUGUCGACGACGAUGAAUGAAUAAGGGAAACCCGGACUGCCAGUUCCUGAAGAAAAGCUAAAACCGGGCCCUAGCUUCUUAAAAUAGAUGAGGCCAGUCGUUGUUUCCAUGAAAUCCACACCAGAGCAUAUUACGAUUUGUCCCGGAAAGUCUUUUGGAUAACGCAGGAUGGCUCAGAAGGAGAAGGAAAGGAAGGCUAGCGAGAUGCUUAAAACAUGCAAGCUUUAAGCUGAUAUACGCUUGAAGCAUAUCAAAGUAAGCGAGUCGAAUUCUUGGGUGCUUUAGAUCGAAAGUAGAUCAACGGUCUUUGUCUAUCUCUUACGAUGAGCUUUUGAGAAAGGUGUACGUUGUCACAUAAUCAAUUUCUUUGUUAAACUCGUCCUGACAAUGCCGCAUACCAACCACAACUUAUCAGGCUCGGUCAAGAACCUAGCAGUCUCGUUUAAGUACAUAGUGGCAGUUCCUCUUUUGACCUCUUGAUCUUUGAGCUUGGUGGCCUCAAAAAAGCGCUCUAGCUGCCACAAGCGGUUAUCCAGCUCCCUACCAUCCUUUUUUCCAUUAUAAUUAUAUAGGUCUUGGUUUCAGGUCUCUCUAGCCAAAGGUACCCUUGUCUGACAGCCCAACUAUGAGCUCCAUUGGCCCUAAUCUGCUUCCGCAUAAGGGAGUCCCCGCGCAUUUCCUCUACCUUUUAUUGUAGAGUGGCCACCUUCUUCCUUUGCUUCUUUAGCCAUCCAAGCAUUGACUGAUCCAAGAAUCUCUCCUUUCCGCUCCUCUCCUAAAAGUCAGUAAUUCCAGAAACCCUUGUUCGAUAGGACCCCCGAAACAUUUGGAAGGAAUGAGACAGGACUGACCGACAGGGACCGAUUUGAGUUGGAGCUUAAGCCUAGACUCACAUAAGACCCCCUCCUUAUCCACAGCACAUGUGUGGUCCAGCUGCGCCACUCUUUCGAUUGGCCUUUCACCUUGCUUUCUCUUGUCUCCACUUUGAUAGAUUAUGCUAUCAUAACCCAGGUACUUCAGCCUAUAACCAGGAUUGCUAGUCUAACUAGAGUACAGGGAAGAGACAGGCCCUUACUCGCCUGUCAAAUCUCUAUUUCUCUUAUUUCUCUUACCUAAUAGGCCAAGCAAAUCUGAUCUGAGAAGGAAUUUCAGUUCCUUGUCCUAUUCGAUGCCUUCUCUGAUGCGGCUUUACGACUGCAUGUCUACUAUUCUAUUCAUUCUGUUGACCUAAGCUUCUUUUAAACUAAAUUAAACUGACUUUCAAGGCUUAGAUGAAAGACAAGAUCCAGUGGUCGAAAGCUAGUUCAAGCUAUCCAUCCAUUCGAGCAAAGAAAAAUUCCUGUGAUAAAGCCAGUUAUAGGUGGGGUCACUCCAUUUGAAAGAGCUAUUGAGUUCUCGUGUGAAUCCGCAGUAGUAGUGCCUUUCAAGUCAGUGUUACGAAUGCGUCAUUUGCCUUUUACUGAGAGAUUUUCUUUCUCGGAGCUAGUCGCGCCUGUCACUUUCAUAAGCCAGAAGGGGUGAACGGAAAGCAUAAGCUUCAGACGAAGCUGAAAAAGUAGGGUCCACGAAUAGCGCUUUAGAUAUUCCUUUUUUCACGAAUAGAGGACUAAGAAAGAGGAUGGAGGUCAACAAUAUGCUGCUACCAAGGAUGCAACUGAGGACGAGACGGGGGGUGCUUUCUCCGUCUCCCGCCACGAGCCGCCCAGGUGAGCUAUCAAGGGAUAGGAGUGCCCGUCCCUUCUCAACUCCCACUCUGAGAUACCAGCCUAAGCCUAGGUCAAGAGGGCGUUAAGCACCUCACUAUACCGAUCAUGGCUUCUGCACCUAAACACAUCCCUUCUCUUAGGGCUUAGGUAGGGGAUGCCCAAAGCUAGCCUCAUUCUCAUAUCUCUUUACCAAAGCUUAAGCUUCCCUGUUUCGCCCAGUUCCUCGAGAAUCUAAAGAAUCGUUUGACUUUGAAUGCCGAAACCCGUCACUUUGAAAGCAAGAAAGAAAGUCUCAAAUUCAGGAUCUUCCGCUGCACGGAUUUCCUGGGAAACGAAGUCAUAGGCACGUAAGUUCAGAGCCAGACCGACUACUCCAAGAGCACUCAUCCAUAAACCGGUUACUGGUACAAAUAACAUAAAAAAAUGUAACCAACGUUUAUUGGAAAAAGCAACCCCAAAGAUUUGGGACCAAAAGCGGUUAGCGGUGACCAUUGAAUAAGUUUCUUCAGCUUGAGUUGGAUUAAAAGCCCGGAAUGUAUUUGCACCAUCACCAUCUUCAAAUAAAGUCUUUUCUACGGUAGCACCAUGAAUAGCGCAUAGCAGAGCAGCGCCCAAUACACCGGCAACUCCCAUCGAAAUGGGUUCAACGUCCAAUUAUGAAACCCUUGGAAAAAGAGGAUGAAUCGAAAUAUAGCUGCUACACCAAAACUAGGCGAAAAGAACCAACCAGACUGACCUAGUGGAUAAAUCAGGAAUACAGAAACAAAAACAGCAAUUGGAGCAGAGAAUGCGAUUGCAUUAUAAGUUCGCAAGCUUGGGUUGUUCAAUAGAAAAAACUAUGUAAGAAAGCCAUAGGGUGUGUUUGGUUACAGUUUCAUGUGUGAUGGAUAAGCUUAUCUACUCAUAAAGGAGGAAAAGAGGUGAAAAAGUGCACCUUUUGGAGGGUAAGUUUAUUCCCUGAAAGCCAAACAACAGAUAGCUAUGAUCCUGGAUGGAGUCUAUCUAGGACAGAGCCAUGACUGCACCCAAACAUCGCCAGAGUCCCAGACAAAGUAAAAAAGGGAGACAAGACACCAAAGGGCAUUGAUUUAUAGAAGCAUAGGAAGGGAUAAAAGAUGUUCUAUAAUAAAUAAUAUAAGGCAAUAACUAUUACAAUUGAUUGCACGCCAACAGGUGAUCCCAUUUAACAAGAGUAGCGAGGUACCAGCUUGGGUACUGGAUAAAGAAAGGUACAAGUCCUACAAGCAGCCAGAGAUGGGAGUUCUUCCGAUACAAACCAUUUCCUUCGUUCCCCAUACCGGAGGUAGCUUUAUCUGCUUUGCCAAAGAAAAGAUGCGGCUACUGUUUUCCCAAAGUCCUUUGUUGUAGAGGCGGAAUCUCUUCAAUCGUUUACGCCAGAAAGACUCUUUCUAUUUUGCGUAUAUAAGGGAGACUGGUCUUUAUCGUCUCACUCCAGCCCGUAGUCAAUUAAAGUGCUUCUUUCUCUCUGGCAGUUCCGAAUGGCUCAUGCAUAAUUUUACAUAAUUUGAAAAAGCAACUGGGAGUAAGGAGAGUAUGAAUGGCCGUUAGUGUUUGGAGUUGCGGUGUGGAAGCUCUGGUUUUGGCGAAAUAAAUUGGUGUUUGAUAAUGACUUCGUAUCGCCGAAUGACGCCCAACGAGUGGCAGAUUUGGAUGGAGUCUCGCUUGGAUGCUGGGGAGAUCCAUAGAUCUGGAUAGAGGCUCGCUCAUCAUAUAUAGAGGAAGAGUACGCGCGCAUGAAAUCACAGACUCAGUAACCGGGGAAGCUCUCAAGGCAAGGUAGCCCAACUUCUUUCGCACCGCUUUCACAGCCCAAGAGAGAGCUCAGCGAGGCGUAUCAUCUAAAGUAGGACUUUCAUGCUAAUUAUAAUAUGUAAUUGACAAGGCCUCUGUCUAAGCAGGAAAAUCAGGAGUUUCCCAUCUUAGGCAGGGUACCGCGAGAGACUUAAAACUAUUCAAUCUAAGCCAUCUUUCUUUAGAAAAGAAUCGACAUCUUUCAUUUUCCAUCCACGAAUGUUAAUGCUUCGAUAUCAAUUAAUUUGGGGGCAUAGCCCAGUUCUUAUAACACAUCUAUGAUACCAACAAGAACAACUUCAUCUGGGACAGAAGCUGGAAUUGGAUCGAUGAGUACCCUUCUUUUGCCGAUGCGACCUCGCCGGAGACGGAGAAUGAAUUAGAAACCGAUCCAAACCUUCUUUCCUCCCUUGCCAACUGCCCUUAAGAAAGGGGAUUCCCCUGAUUCGACUGAGAUCUCGAUCUCUUCUUUCUGCGAAUGUGCCUGCGUCUGUUUAUGUCCUUUUGGAUAGAAAUGUAGCUUCGUUCGGAACAAUUGGCUUCGGGGAUAAAAGGAAUCUCUUGGUUAGGCGUCUGCCGAUGCAGAUGGAAAUUCGUUAGAGGGACCGGUCGGCGAAUCGGCUGGUUGGACUGAUUUUUCUUGGUUAUUCGGGAAACGUAAUGCUAACAGUUCAUAAUCCAAGGGUAGGGGUGGUCCUACAAAGGAGCUAAAAAAUAAGCUGCCUUUUUUGGGCUUCAAACUGAAACUCGAAAUCUCUCUUCACUAGCUGUAACAGCAGACUUUUGGAUUCAAUUACGAGUUAGAUCAUAUGGACAAGACGAGAAUGACUCUACUAACAAAGAAGUGGAGGGCUUGCCUUUGUCUGCUGAAUUGAUGGAUCUUUAUAGCUUGGAUAAAAUAACUUUCUUGGCUUGACUGGCGCCUCUGGGUAAAGAGCUUGAAAGGGAUCCUAUUCGUUCGGCUGGGCUGCUGUAAAUGGCUAAAAAUGGCUUCCGAUACUGCGCGGAUUCCUACCAUCGAAGUAAACUAGCCUGGCCCACCAUGUAAACUUUCUCCAUUCAAUGGGCUUACCGGAUUGAAGAGAGAGAACUGGAACAGAUGCUAGUAAUACUGGGACUGGACGGCUCUCGGGAGCUUGCUUAUAGAAAGAAGAUAGGCCGGUCAAACAAAAACAACGCGCAACGGGCUCUCCGCUCCUAGUCACUAAGUAGUGUUAUUCUGUCCUCCGGGGGACUCCACCAAGAGGUUCUUUCUCUCACGUAAUUUCGCCCGCCCGCUCCACUUCCGUGCCGGAGGAAAUGGACUUCGAAUUACUGUCCAAUUGCCGAAGGGUCCGGCUUGAGAGUAGUAGUGAUUUGAUUUUCAGGCAAUUUGAGUUCCCUUUUUUGCCAGGGGAGAUCCUGUGACAGUCCUUUAUGCAAAUAGGUAUUUUCCUUCAUUGCGAUUUGAGAUCUUUAAGUCAUAAGGUAAGCUCAUCUUGUGGGCACAUCACUUAGACUGCUAAAAACUUAAACUUUCAAUCCAAUUUCUUAGCACACCGACGCCUAAACAGGUUUGGUUUGCCUAGAUAGGAAGUGCGCUUGCAGUGCUUCUAGUAACGAUUUUGAAGUGCAAUAUCUUUCUGUUUCAGGGGUAUGAUUGCUUCUUUCUUCGGCUUAAAAGCUAGAGCUUGUGGUUCUUUACAACCUAAUAUUUAAUACUAUUAAGUAUUAAGGUUCUAUUUAGAAUUAAGUAAAAAACAAACACAACCUUAGAUGCUUGUUGGGUAUACGUCAUUCGCCCCAACCCUUGAAUUGGGGACCAUAUCAUCUUCUAGAGCAGAGGUGAUAGGUGGCCAAAUCCGCAGAAUUGAAACCUAACUGGCUGGCAAGGAGAAUCCUUUAUAAAAUUGGCAACCUUUUUGACAUUUUCUAAGGAAUAAUAAAAGUCACAACACCACCGAGGAAAGGAAAAGCCUCACAGAUAUCGCAUGGAUUAAGCAUACCAAGAGUAUCAGGAUACAAACGAAAGUAUAAAGUAGAAGAUUUUAUCAUUCACCAAAAAAUAGAAGAAGAACCAUAGAAAGUAACAACUAUACUGUAAAAUAACCAUGUAACCUCAAUGCACAAGAGCAUCAGCUCUUAGAAAUUAAUGGCUCUGAACCUCGGCCCCAAACACUUUGGUGAUCUUCUCAGUAGGAACCAAUGGCAAGUAUGUGGAGACCUUGUAACCUUUCUCUGCUGUGCUGAGUACUGUUUGAUUAUACCUCUCAG
rnacentral:lncRNA from 1 species